CAAAGAGGGGGACCUUCGGGCCUCUUGCCAUCGGAUGUGCCCAGAUGGGAUUAGCUUGUUGGUGGGGUAACGGCUCACCAAGGCGACGAUCCCUAGCUGGUCUGAGAGGAUGACCAGCCACACUGGAACUGAGACACGGUCCAGACUCCUACGGGAGGCAGCAGUGGGGAAUAUUGCACAAUGGGCGCAAGCCUGAUGCAGCCAUGCCGCGUGUAUGAAGAAGGCCUUCGGGUUGUAAAGUACUUUCAGCGGGGAGGAAGGGAGUAAAGUUAAUACCUUUGCUCAUUGACGUUACCCGCAGAAGAAGCACCGGCUAACUCCGUGCCAGCAGCCGCGGUAAUACGGAGGGUGCAGGCGUUAAUCGGAAUUACUGGGCGUAAAGCGCACGCAGGCGGUUUGUUAAGUCAGAUGUGAAAUCCCCGGGCUCAACCUGGGAACUGCAUCUGAUACUGGCAAGCUUGAGUCUCGUAGAGGGGGGUAGAAUUCCAGGUGUAGCGGUGAAAUGCGUAGAGAUCUGGAGGAAUACCGGUGGCGAAGGCGGCCCCCUGGACGAAGACUGACGCUCAGGUGCGAAAGCGUGGGGAGCAAACAGGAUUAGAUACCCUGGUAGUCCACGCCGUAAACGAUGUCGACUUGGAGGUUGUGCCCUUGAGGCGUGG
rnacentral:rRNA from 1 species